CAACUUUAUUCAAGUCACCAAGACCUCCUCUACCUUGCUUCUGGGGAAAGGCCAUAAGAAAGAGACUGUAUUUUUAGUUUAUUUCAGUCUCAGCUGAUCAGACUUCUUGAGCCAAGUGCUAACUAGUUUCCUUUGAAGACCAACUUGCUAGAGACAGCUUACCUGAAUCAUGCAGUGUAUACAGGAUGUCAGUGAAGAGGUCUGGCAGGAAUGCCUCACUCUCUUCCUACUGACUGGUACAUGUUAUGAUGCAGUAAUUAUCACCAAUUCCCCACCCUGGUUAUUAGCAUCUUACUCUGAAGGUAACUUGUUCCAGUUGACCCAGGAAGAAAUUCAGAUUUUACUGGCAAGAGAGGGGAGAGAGAAAUUGUUUCUCCAAGGAGUCACCCUUGCAGGGACCAAAUGCUUGUUGAUUUGAGACAAUCUGUACACUGAAGGCAACAACACCAUGUACCUGCGCACCAAAGGCCAGAGUCAGGGCAGCCGGGCAGUGACGGUAGUUCAGAUCGAGUCUGUAAGGCUUGUGGUGAUUGGACAGAAAGGAACAGAAGGAGGGCCUCUCAACCUCGAAGCUUUUGAGAUGGCAGGUUAUGUCAGAGAGGCCAUUGAGCAACAUGUGGCCCAUUUAUAACUAAAUAAAAAAUAGUUGGUGUUUGACCUGUAA
ensembl:lncRNA novel transcript